GUAACACGUGGGCAACCUGCCCUGCAGAUCGGGAUAACUCCGGGAAACCGGUGCUAAUACCGAAUAGUUUGUUUCACCUCCUGGUGAAACACGGAAAGACGGUUUCGGCUGUCACUGCAGGAUGGGCCCGCGGCGCAUUAGCUAGUUGGUGGGGUAAUGGCCCACCAAGGCGACGAUGCGUAGCCGACCUGAGAGGGUGAUCGGCCACACUGGGACUGAGACACGGCCCAGACUCCUACGGGAGGCAGCAGUAGGGAAUCUUCCGCAAUGGACGAAAGUCUGACGGAGCAACGCCGCGUGAGUGACGAAGGUUUUCGGAUCGUAAAACUCUGUUGUGAGGGAAGAACAAGUACCAGCUAACUACUGGUACCUUGACGGUACCUCACCAGAAAGCCACGGCUAACUACGUGCCAGCAGCCGCGGUAAUACGUAGGUGGCAAGCGUUGUCCGGAAUUAUUGGGCGCAAAGCGCGCGCAGGCGGUCCCUUAAGUCUGAUGUGAAAGCCCACGGCUCAACCGUGGAGGGUCAUUGGAAACUGGGGGACUUGAGUGCAGAAGAGGAAAGUGGAAUUCCAUGUGUAGCGGUGAAAUGCGUAGAGAUGUGGAGGAACACCAGUGGCGAAGGCGACUUUCUGGUCUGUAACUGACGCUGAGGCG
rnacentral:rRNA from 1 species